rnacentral:lncRNA from 1 species
UGCAGGGCGUGGCAGCUCAGCACCGACUGGCCUAGUCUAAACUGAUGUUCCGCCAAGGAGGCCCUUUGGCUGCCGUGAGCACCUAAACAGCCCUGCCUUUGUCCUAGUGGCCACAGGCACUGUUUGCUCAGUGCCCAGCUUGCUUUUCCCAGGCUGAGUUGGGCAGGCAGAGGCCCGGGUGCCAUGGAAACAGCGCAGGCCACCUGUCUUGUCCAGCCCCCGCUUUCUGCCCAGUUGCUUUCUCAGUCGCUUCAGACCUCCUGCUGCACUGGCCCUGCCCCAGCUGCCCUCGUCCCACCCCCUCACUAGCUAGGCUGGGUGCAGAGACAGCCAAGGGUUUCAGGGGCCCUGGGGAUCGCACAGAUCCUGGGAUUAGCUCCGGCACCCUCAGCACCCAAUCGGUUGACUGCUUGCUGCCUGCAGGGCAACUCAAGAGUCCAGCACAGAAAUCCUUUACCUGGGACCUCCGCCCUGAACGGAGGAGGAUUUCCUGUACGUAGGAGGAAGGCUGUGGGGUCCCUCAAAGGCUCCACAGCUUCAUUAAAACUGCAGCACCAGGGGCUGGAGAGAUGGAGCAACAGUCAGGAGCACCCGUCGCUGUUCCAGAGGACCCAGGUUCAAUUCCCAGCCCCUAUAUGCUAGCUCACAAGUGCCUUUGCCUCAGUCCUAAGGGAUCUGGUGCCCUCUUCUGGCCACUAUGGGCACUGCACAUACAUGGUGCAUGGAUAUAAAUGCAGACAAAAAUCAAUGAAACAAAUAAACAAAAAGCCCAUCUGC